rnacentral:rRNA from 1 species
GACGAACGCUGGCGGCGUGCUUAACACAUGCAAGUCGAACGGAAAGGCCCUGCUUGCAGGGUACUCGAGUGGCGAACGGGUGAGUAACACGUGGGUGAUCUGCCCUGCACUUCGGGAUAAGCCUGGGAAACUGGGUCUAAUACCGGAUAGGAGCCAUUUUUAGUGUGAUGGUUGGAAAGUUUUUUCGGUGUAGGAUGAGCUCGCGGCCUAUCAGCUUGUUGGUGGGGUAAUGGCCUACAAGGCGGCGACGGGUAGCCGGCCUGAGAGGGUGGACGGCCACAUUGGGACUGAGAUACGGCCCAGACUCCUACGGGAGGCAGCAGUGGGGAAUAUUGCACAAUGGGCGCAAGCCUGAUGCAGCGACGCCGCGUGGGGGAUGACGGCCUUCGGGUUGUAAACUCCUUUCGCUAGGGACGAAGCUUUUUGUGACGGUACCUAGAUAAGAAGCACCGGCUAACUACGUG